UACAGAGGGUGCUAGCGUUGUUCGGAAUCAUUGGGCGUAAAGGGCGUGUAGGCGGUUUGUUAAGUCAUGUGUGAAAUCCCUCGGCUCAACCGGGGAACGACGCAUGAAACUGGCAAGCUAGAGUACCAAAGAGGGGGAUGGAAUUACCGGUGUAGCGGUGAAAUGCGUAGAUAUCGGUAGGAACACCAGUGGCGAAGGCGGUCUCCUGGGGCAUUCUUGACGCUGAUGCGCGAAAGCUGGGGGAGCGAACGGG
rnacentral:rRNA from 1 species